CACUAAGAAGCUAACUAGUCAAAGCGUUAGCCUUUUAAGCUAAAAACUGGUGCCUAACGACCACCCUUAGUGG
rnacentral:tRNA from 1 species